rnacentral:rRNA from 1 species
GAUGAACGCUGGCGGCGUGCCUAAUACAUGCAAGUCGAGCGAACAGACGAGGAGCUUGCUCCUCUGACGUUAGCGGCGGACGGGUGAGUAACACGUGGAUAACCUACCUAUAAGACUGGGAUAACUUCGGGAAACCGGAGCUAGUACCGGAUAAUAUAUUGAACCGCAUGGUUCAAUAGUGAAAGACGGUUUUGCUGUCACUUAUAGAUGGAUCCGCGCCGCAUUAGCUAGUUGGUAAGGUAACGGCUUACCGAGGCAACGAUGCGUAGCCGACCUGAGAGGGUGAUCGGCCACACUGGAACUGAGACACGGUCCAGACUCCUACGGGAGGCAGCAGUAGGGAAUCUUCCGCAAUGGGCGAAAGCCUGACGGAGCAACGCCGCGUGAGUGAUGAAGGUCUUCGGAUCGUAAAACUCUGUUAUUAGGGAAGAACAAAUGUGUAAGUAACUAUGCACGUCUUGACGGUACCUAAUCAGAAAGCCACGGCUAACUACGUG